GAUCCGCCCCAACCACCUUGAAAGUAAGAGGUGCUUGCUUCCCUGCUAUCUCUCGUUCCCUGGUGACCUAGGAUGGAGGACGGCCCUUCCCCGCUUGUUGCGCCUGCGCACCCUCUCCGCUCCCCAUGUGUUUUCUAUCUAUGUAGACAAUCUGGGGAUUUUCUCACAUUCUGUUUGACUGGCCCUGAGCUAACAUCUGUGCCCAUCUUCCUCUACUUUAUAUGUGGGACGCCUACCACAGCAUGGCGUGCCAAGCGGUGCCGUGUCCGAACUUGGAUCCGAACAAGCGAACCCCAAGCACAGAGAAGUGGAUUGUGCGCACUCAACCAUGGUGCCACUGGGCUGGCCCCUGUAUGAAGUUUUUAAUUACUAUUUCAAUUGAUGUCAGAGUUAAAAGAUUGUUUAGGGUCUUUACCUCAGGUUUUGCU
rnacentral:lncRNA from 1 species